rnacentral:rRNA from 1 species
UACGUAGGGGGCGAGCGUUGUCCGGAAUCACUGGGCGUAAAGCGCACGUAGGCGGAUGUGUCAGUCAGGGGUGAAAUCCCGGAGCUCAACUUCGGAACUGCCUUUGAUACAGCACGUCUUGAGUCCGGAAGAGGUGGGUGGAAUUCCUGGUGUAGCGGUGAAAUGCGCAGAUAUCAGGAAGAACACCCGUGGCGAAGGCGGCUCUCUGGAACGCAACUGACGCUGAGACGCGAAAGCGUGGGGAGCAAACAGG